UACGUAGGGUGCGAGCGUUAAUCGGAAUUACUGGGCGUAAAGCGUGCGCAGGCGGUUUUGUAAGCCAGAUGUGAAAUCCCCGGGCUUAACCUGGGAAUGGCAUUUGGGACUGCAAGGCUCGAGUGCGGCAGAGGAGACUGGAAUUCCUGGUGUAGCAGUGAAAUGCGUAGAUAUCAGGAGGAACACCGAUGGCGAAGGCAGGUCUCUGGGCCUGCACUGACGCUCAUGCACGAAAGCGUGGGGAGCAAACAGG
rnacentral:rRNA from 1 species